rnacentral:rRNA from 1 species
UACGGAGGGAGCUAGCGUUGUUCGGAAUUACUGGGCGUAAAGCGCACGUAGGCGGCUUUGUACGUCAGAGGUGAAAGCCUGGAGCUCAACUCCAGAACUGCCUUUGAGACUGCAUCGCUCGAAUCCGGGAGAGGUGAGUGGAAUUCCGAGUGUAGAGGUGAAAUUCGUAGAUAUUCGGAAGAACACCAGUGGCGAAGGCGGGUCACUGGACCGUUAUUGACGCUGAGGUGCGAAAGCGUGGGUAGCGAACAGG